UACGUAGGGGGCAAGCGUUGUCCGGAAUCAUUGGGCGUAAAGCGCGUGUAGGCGGCCCGGUAAGUCCGCUGUGAAAGUCGGGGGCUCAACCCUCGAAUGCCGGUGGAUACUGUCGGGCUAGAGUCCGGAAGAGGCGAGUGGAAUUCCUGGUGUAGCGGUGGAAUGCGCAGAUAUCAGGAGGAACACCAAUGGCGAAGGCAGCUCGCUGGGACGGUACUGACGCUGAGGCGCGAAAGCGUGGGGAGCGAACAGG
rnacentral:rRNA from 1 species